ensembl:lncRNA
CUAACUAUCCUUGUAAGGACCUUCCCUUGGCCAUCCAUUGACUUUCUGUACUGCAUAUCCUACACAAGGUCUGGACUGUGGGAGGAAACCGGAGUACCCCACAGGAAACCCCUGAAGCACAGGGAGAACACUGCACUCAACGCUAGCAUGGCAGAGACAGCAAUCAAACCCCCAACCCUGGAGGCUCCCAUUUUCUUCAUGAGGGUUGAAAAAUGGACCCCUUUCACCUACACCCUGUGUAUAGUGUUUAGGCCCUGCUGAACCGGCUGAAAAAAGCCAACGGCUCGGGAGUUCAUCUGGAACUUGGUUUAACAAAGGGAAAUGAAGUACUGAAAGAAGGAGACUGGACUACGCCACUCUGGG